rnacentral:rRNA from 1 species
AGAGACCGAUAGCGAACAAGUACCGUGAGGGAAAGAUGAAAAGUACUUUGAAAAGAGAGUCAAACAGCGCGUGAAAUUGUUGAAAGGGAAACGAUUGAAGUCAGUCGUACCGACGGGAAAUCAAUUAUCUUGAGUGCGAUUUUGUGGGUGUUGAUGAGCUUAACGGCCUUCAUAUUUGCAAAUUUGUAUUCUUGUGGUGUAUUUUUUCGUAUGGUGGGUCAACAUCAAUUUGA